ACGGUGGCGAACGGGUGAGUAAUGCAUCGGAACGUGCCCAUCGAUGGGGGAUAACUGCGCGAAAGCGUUGCUAAUACCGCAUACGACCUACGGGUGAAAGCAGGGGACCGCAAGGCCUUGCGUCGAUGGAGCGGCCGAUGCCGGAUUAGCUAGUUGGUGAGGUAAAGGCUCACCAAGGCGACGAUCCCGUAGCUGGUCUGAGAGGACGACCAGCCACACUGGGACUGAGACACGGCCCAGACUCCUACGGGAGGCAGCAGUGGGGAAUCUUGGACAAUGGGCGAAAGCCUGAUCCAGCAAUGCCGCGUGUGGGAAGAAGGCCUCGGGUUGUAAACCACUUUUGGCGGGAAAGAAAUGGUCUGUGCUAAUACCACGGAUUGAUGACGGUACCCGCAGAAUAAGCACCGGCUAACUACGUG
rnacentral:rRNA from 1 species